rnacentral:tRNA from 1 species
UUUGGUAUUGUGCCAGAUAAUUGGGCUUUCUUGAUGUGGAAGAAUAUGAAGGUUAAACCCUUUCGAUACCA